UCUAGAUAUAAAGCUAUUUGUGAAAGAUGGAGAUGAGACAAGAAGCCAGCACUGAAAAUGAUCAACGUUGCUCAGCAAAACCAACAACCAGUGUUCUGACUGAAAGAUGAAAACUUGUGUCUGAAGCUGAUCCGAUUCUCCUAUCCACAGGGGCAGAAAGUGGCCAGGAGAGCUCUAGAAGAGCCAGAGAGUUUGGGACAUACGCAGUGGAUAGUCUUAGCAAAAACGAAGGCAGAGAUUCGCCUACUGAGCCCUUCCCAAGUUCCAGAUGUCCAUGCCAUCUUACUGUGACCUUUCCAUCUCCCUGCAAAGAAACAAGUCCAAUUCAUCGGCUACUGCUCCU
rnacentral:lncRNA from 1 species